UACGUAGGGGGCUAGCGUUGUCCGGAAUCAUUGGGCGUAAAGAGCGUGUAGGCGGUCCGGUAAGUCCGCUGUGAAAGUCGGGGGCUCAACCCUCGAAUGCCGGUGGAUACUGUCGGGCUAGAGUGCGGAAGAGGCGAGUGGAAUUCCUGGGUGUAGCGGUGAAAUGCGCAGAUAUCAGGAGGAACACCUAUUGCGAAGGCAGCUCGCUGGGACGUUACUGACGCUGGAGACGCGAAAGCGUGGGGAGCAAACAGG
rnacentral:rRNA from 1 species